rnacentral:lncRNA from 1 species
GGAAACCACACGCUCAGGGCAGACAGCUCUUGGGGACUCUGCCGUUAGCCCCUUCCUUACAAACACAUCACCUCAUCCCUCGGGGCACUUGAUAGCAGACAAGAAGUUCCAGAAAGGCUUACAUUUACUAAAAGUUUAUUUCAAAUCUGCCUCCAAGUCCAUGUGUUCUGAAAAGGACAGAGGGGGCCUUGGAGUGCAGCCAGAUGGAAGGACUUUGAAGGCUGUCCAAGUGCUGCUUUCAGAGUGCACCAAGUUUUUAUUGUCCCUGACUGUGGCUCCCUGCCUGUUUGUCAGGCGGGAGCCUGGAGCCUGCACAGGGACAGAGCUGGUUUCAUCCGGCACUCCCUAGCCCUGGACACCCUCCUUGUCUCGCCUGCCCUCCUGCAGGCCUUCACUCUCCCCUGAGGCUGUCCUGGCCCGGACUGUGGGGAGCACCUCCACCCCCCGGAGCAGGUGCACACCCAGGGAUGCCCUGGACCUAAGUGACAUCAACUCAGAGCCUCCUCGGGGCUCCUUCCCCUCCUUUGAGCCUCGGAACCUCCUCAGCCUGUUUGAGGACACCCUAGACCCAACCUGAGCCCCAGACUCUGCCUCUGCACUUUUAACCUUUUAUCCUGUGUCUCUCCCGUCGCCCUUGAAAGCUGGGGCCCCUCGGGAACUCCCAUGGUCUUCUCUGCCUGGCCGUGUCUAAUAAAAAGUAUUUGAACCUUGGGAGCA